rnacentral:other from 1 species
UUUUGUCUGCGGUGUUCGUGGUAUGGAAAAUUCGUAAUCCACAAAGUAAAAAAGGGAGCGUAUCGUUCGCGGAAAUAGUCAAGGUCUGGUUUCGGAAAGUACGAUGUUUCGCCUCGGCGCACCCACCUGCGAGAUGCGGGUUAAUACUUUUUCAUAUCACGGCACAGGCGGAUUUUUU